rnacentral:rRNA from 1 species
AUUGAACGCUGGCGGCAGGCCUAACACAUGCAAGUCGAGCGGAGCGGCGGACGGGUGAUUAAUGCCUAGGAAUCUGCCUGGUAGUGGGGGCUCACUUCCGGCCCCGGGCGCUAAUACCGCAUACUAUCAGAUGAGCCUCGGUCGGAUGAGCUAGUUGGUGGGGUAAAGGCCUACCAAGGUGAAGAUCCGUAACUGGUCUGAGAGGAUGAUCAGUCACACUGGAACUGAGACACGGUCCAGACUCCUACGGGAGGCAGCAGUGGGGAAUAUUGGACAAUGGGCGAAAGCCUGAUCCAGCCAUGCCGCGUGUGUGAAGAAGGUCUUCGGAUUGUAAAGCACUUUAAGUUGGGAGGCGUUACCAACAGAAUAAGCACCGGCUAACUUCGUGCCAGCCGCCGCGGUAAUUC